GUACAGCCUAGAGGAAGAAAGGUCUCAGGGUGGUGAGAGCUCACCCUCUCCCUGGAGAAAGGGCCGAGGAUUAGAAAAAACUGCAAAUAGACUUGCUGCAGUGCACCAGAUGGUGAUGGUGUUUGGGGGAAGAGGAAGUAUCUGAAGAUGGUGAAUCUAAAAAUCCAGAAGAGGGAGAGGAGACUGUCAAAUAGGAGGAAGAGGGAAGUUGGAUUCACUCAGUGCAGAAACUCUGAUCUGGUACUGCCUCCCAGUGGCACAGAUGAUCCUGAUCCUUCAGCAGAGGCCAUGCCCUCACCCACCAAACAGUGGUUUCUCUAAAAAUCUUA